rnacentral:rRNA from 1 species
GCGAACGCUGGCGGCAGGCCUAACACAUGCAAGUCGAGCGGCCGUAGCAAUACGGCAGCGGCAGACGGGAGAGUAACACGUGGGAACGCGCCCUUCGGUUCGGAAUAACUCAGGGAAACUUGGGCUAAUACCGGAUACGCCCUUACGGGGAAAGAUUUAUCGCUGUUAAGGAACGGUUCCGUGUCGGAUUAGCUAGUUGGUGAGGUAACUGGUCCAUCAAGGUACUGAUCCGGUAGUUGGUCUGAGAGGAUGAUCAGCCUCACUGGGACUGAGACACGGCCCAGACUCCUACGGGAGGUAGCAGUGGGGAAUAUUGGACAAUGGGUGCAAGCCUGAUCCAGCAAUGCCGCGUGAGUGAGGAAGGUCUUAGGGUUGUAAAGCUCUUUCGGCGGGGACGAUGAUGACGGUAUCCGCAGAAGAAGUCCCGGCUAACUUCGUGCCAGUAGCCGCGGUAAUACGAAGGGGGUGAGCGUUGUUCGGAUUUACUGGGCGUAAAGGGUGCGCAGGUGGCCAUUUUUGUCAGGUGUGAAAGUUCCGGGUUCAACCUGGGAAUGGUGCUUGGGAUGGGGUGGCUAGAGAUCGGGAGAGGAGUGUGGAAUUCCCAGUGUAGAGGUGAAAUUCGUAGAUAUUGGGAAGAACAUCGGUGGCGAAGGCGGCGUUCUGGACCGAGAUUGACGUUGAGGCGCGAAAGCGUGGGGAGUAAACAGGAUUAGAUAUCCUGGUAGUCCACGCCGUAAACGAUGUGUGCUAGACGUUGGGGAGUUUAGCUCUUCGGUGUCGCAGUUAACGCGGUAAGCAUACUGUUUGGGGAGUAUGGUCGUAAGGUUAAAACUCAAAGGAAUUGACGGGGUCCGCACAAGCGGUGGAGUAUGUGGUUUAAUUCGACGCAACGCGAAGAACCUUACCAGUCCUUGACAUGUUUCGUGUGGGUGGGGGAGAUUCCAUCCUUCAGUUCGGUUGGCGGGAACACAGGUGUUGCAUGGUUGUCGUCAGCUCGUGUCGUGAGAUGUUGGGUUAAGUUCCGCAACGAGUGCAAUUUUCAUCUGUAGUUGCCAGUGAGUAAGGUCGGGCACUCUGUAGAAAUUGCCGGUGACAAGUCGGAGGAAGGCGGGGAUGACGUCAAGUCCUCAUGGUCCUUAUGGGUUGGGCUACACACGUGCUACAAUGGCGGUGACAGAGGGUGGCAAGGCAGCGAUGCUGAGCCAAUUUCAAAAAGCCGUCUCAGUUCGGAUUGCUCUCUGCAACUCGAGAGCAUGAAGUCGGAAUCGCUAGUAAUCGCGGAUCAGCAUGCCGCGGUGAAUACGUUCUCGGGUUUUGUACACAUCGUUCGUCACAUCAUGGGAGUUGGUUUUACCCGAAGUCGGUGCGCCAACCUGGCGAUAGGAGGUAGCCGACCACGGUAAGGUCAGUGACUGGGGUG